AUGGGCAUGCACGUGUCCUUUCCCCUCCAUGACCUAGAUGGAAGCAUCAAUGAUUGAAGAUCAGCAGCAGCAUGGAAUCCUGGGCCUAUUUGGAGAUACCAAGUGAGUCCAAGGAGCUCCCAGAGGCAAGUUGAUGAUGGCCUAUUGAGGGGAUCAUGGAGGCCUGGUGAUGGUGGUCAGCAAAUGUAUAUAAUUAAUUCCUUAUAAUCUAUUAUCAACUAAUAUUUAAUUUGGAAGGCAUUUUCCCCUCAA
rnacentral:lncRNA from 1 species